CCCCGCCCCUCCCGGGGCUGUCGGAGGAGGAGCGGCUGUCGCUGGGGCAGCAGCAGGCGGUCCUGCUGCUGCAGGAGGAGAGGGGCCAGCACCCGUUUGGGGACAAGGCCAAGGAGCAGGAGCUGCUGGAGCAGCAGAAGAGGGCCGCGGUGCUGCUGGAGCAGGAGCGGCAGCAGGAGCUGGCCAAGCUGACCCCUCCCCCGGCCCCCGAGCCCCC